rnacentral:rRNA from 1 species
ACUCCUACGGGAGGCAGCAGUGGGGAAUAUUGCACAAUGGGGGAAACCCUGAUGCAGCAACGCCGCGUGGAGGAUGACACAUUUCGGUGCGUAAACUCCUUUUAUAUGGGAAGAUAAUGACGGUACCAUAUGAAUAAGCACCGGCUAACUCCGUGCCAGCAGCCGCGGUAAUACGGAGGGUGCAAGCGUUACUCGGAAUCACUGGGCGUAAAGCGCGCGCAGGCGGUCUUUUAAGUUGGAUGUGAAAGCCUACGGCUCAACCGUAGAACUGCAUCCAAAACUAUUAGACUAGAGUGUGGGAGAGGAAGAUGGAAUUAGUUGUGUAGGGGUAAAAUCCGUAGAGAUAACUAGGAAUACCAAAAGCGAAGGCAAUCUUCUGGAACACUACUGACGCUGAGGCGCGAAAGCGUGGGGAGCAAACAGGAUUAGAUACCCUGGUAGUCCACGCAGUAAACGAUGAAUGUUAGUCGUCGGGGGCCUCGUGUCUUCGGUGAUGCAGCUAACGCAUUAAACAUUCCGCCUGGGGAGUACGGUCGCAAGAUUAAAACUCAAAGGAAUAGACGGGGACCCGCACAAGUGGUGGAGCAUGUGGUUUAAUUCGAAGAUACGCGAAGAACCUUACCUAGCCUUGACAUAUAUUAGAACUCCGCAGAGAUGCAGAGGUGCCUUCGGGAGCUUUUAUACAGGUGCUGCACGGCUGUCGUCAGCUCGUGUCGUGAGAUGUUGGGUUAAGUCCCGCAACGAGCGCAACCCUCGUCACUAGUUACUAACGGUUCGGCCGAGGACUCUAGUGAGACUGCCUUCGUAAGGAGGAGGAAGGUGAGGACGACGUCAAGUCAUCAUGGCCCUUACGGCUAGGGCAACACACGUGCUACAAUGGCCAGGACAGUGAGACGCGAUACCGC